rnacentral:rRNA from 1 species
UUGGAGGGCAAGUCUGGUGCCAGCAGCCGUUAAAAUUCCAGCUCCAAUAGCGUAUAUUAAAGUUGUUGCACUUUAAAAGCUCGUAGUUGAAUUUCGGGAUCAAUCUAUCGGUCGUGCAAUAGUACGUACUGAUUUUAUUGAUUCCUCCCUUCUGAUGAACUAUGAUGUCAUUAAUUUGGUGUCAUAGGGAAUCAGGACUGUUACUUUGAAAAAAUUAGAGUGUUUAAAGCAGGCUCACGCUUGAAUACAUUAGCAUGGAAUAACGAAAUAGGACGUUUGAUUCUAUUUUGUUGGUUUCUAGGAUCGACGUAAUGAUUAAUAGGGAUAGUUGGGGGCAUUAGUAUUCAAUUGUCAGAGGUGAAAUUCUUGGAUUUAUUGAAGACUAACUACUGCGAAAGCAUUUGCCAAGGAUGUUUUCAUUAAUCAAGAACGAAAGUUAGGGGAUCGAAGACGAUCAGAUACCGUCGUAGUCUUAACCAUAAACUAUGCCGACUAGGGAUCGGAUGAUGUUAAUUUUUUAAUGACUCAUUCGGCGCCUUACGGGAAA